UGGGGAAUAUUGCACAAUGGGCGAAAGCCUGAUGCAGCGACGCCGCGUGCGGGAUGAAGGCCUUCGGGUUGUAAACCGCUUUUGAUUGGGAGCAAGCGAGAGUGAGUGUACCUUUCGAAUAAGCACCGGCUAACUACGUGCCAGCAGCCGCGGUAAUACGUAGGGUGCAAGCGUUAUCCGGAAUUAUUGGGCGUAAAGAGCUCGUAGGCGGUUUGUCGCGUCUGGUGUGAAAGUCCAUCGCUUAACGGUGGAUCUGCGCCGGGUACGGGCAGGCUAGAGUGCGACAGGGGAGACUGGAAUUCCCGGUGUAACGGUGGAAUGUGUAGAUAUCGGGAAGAACACCAAUGGCGAAGGCAGGUCUCUGGGUCGUCACUGACGCUGAGGAGCGAAAGCGUGGGGGGCGAACAGGAUUAGAUACCCUGGUAGUCCACGCCGUAAACGGUGGAUGCUGGAUGUGGGGCCCAUUCCACGGGUUCCGUGUCGGAGCUAACGCGUUAAGCAUCCCGCCUGGGGAGUACGGCCGCAAGGCUAAA
rnacentral:rRNA from 1 species